CGAACGGGGAGCAGCCCAGAGCCUGAAUCAGUGUGUGUGUUAGUGGAAGCGUCUGGAAAGGCGCGCGAUACAGGGUGACAGCCCCGUACACAAAAAUGCACAUGCUGUGAGCUCGAUGAGUAGGGCGGGACACGUGGUAUCCUGUCUGAAUAUGGGGGGACCAUCCUCCAAGGCUAAAUACUCCUGACUGACCGAUAGUGAACCAGUACCGUGAGGGAAAGGCGAAAAGAACCCCGGCGAGGGGAGUGAAAAAGAACCUGAAACCGUGUACGUACAAGCAGUGGGAGCACGCUUAGGCGUGUGACUGCGUACCUUUUGUAUAAUGGGUCAGCGACUUAUAUUCUGUAGCAAGGUUAACCGAAUAGGGGAGCCGAAGGGAAACCGAGUCUUAACUGGGCGUUAAGUUGCAGGGUAUAGACCCGAAACCCGGUGAUCUAGCCAUGGGCAGGUUGAAGGUUGGGUAACACUAACUGGAGGACCGAACCGACUAAUGUUGAAAAAUUAGCGGAUGACUUGUGGCUGGGGGUGAAAGGCCAAUCAAACCGGGAGAUAGCUGGUUCUCCCCGAAAGCUAUUUAGGUAGCGCCUCGUGAAUUCAUCUCCGGGGGUAGAGCACUGUUUCGGCAAGGGGGUCAUCCCGACUUACCAACCCGAUGCAAACUGCGAAUACCGGAGAAUGUUAUCACGGGAGACACACGGCGGGUGCUAACGUCCGUCGUGAAGAGGGAAACAACCCAGACCGCCAGCUAAGGUCCCAAAGUCAUGGUUAAGUGGGAAACGAUGUGGGAAGGCCCAGACAGCCAGGAUGUUGGCUUAGAAGCAGCCAUCAUUUAAAGAAAGCGUAAUAGCUCACUGGUCGAGUCGGCCUGCGCGGAAGAUGUAACGGGGCUAAACCAUGCACCGAAGCUGCGGCAGCGACGCUUAUGCGUUGUUGGGUAGGGGAGCGUUCUGUAAGCCUGCGAAGGUGUGCUGUGAGGCAUGCUGGAGGUAUCAGAAGUGCGAAUGCUGACAUAAGUAACGAUAAAGCGGGUGAAAAGCCCGCUCGCCGGAAGACCAAGGGUUCCUGUCCAACGUUAAUCGGGGCAGGGUGAGUCGACCCCUAAGGCGAGGCCGAAAGGCGUAGUCGAUGGGAAACAGGUUAAUAUUCCUGUACUUGGUGUUACUGCGAAGGGGGGACGGAGAAGGCUAUGUUGGCCGGGCGACGGUUGUCCCGGUUUAAGCGUGUAGGCUGGUUUUCCAGGCAAAUCCGGAAAAUCAAGGCUGAGGCGUGAUGACGAGGCACUACGGUGCUGAAGCAACAAAUGCCCUGCUUCCAGGAAAAGCCUCUAAGCAUCAGGUAACAUCAAAUCGUACCCCAAACCGACACAGGUGGUCAGGUAGAGAAUACCAAGGCGCUUGAGAGAACUCGGGUGAAGGAACUAGGCAAAAUGGUGCCGUAACUUCGGGAGAAGGCACGCUGAUAUGUAGGUGAAGCGACUUGCUCGUGGAGCUGAAAUCAGUCGAAGAUACCAGCUGGCUGCAACUGUUUAUUAAAAACACAGCACUGUGCAAACACGAAAGUGGACGUAUACGGUGUGACGCCUGCCCGGUGCCGGAAGGUUAAUUGAUGGGGUUAGCGCAAGCGAAGCUCUUGAUCGAAGCCCCGGUAAACGGCGGCCGUAACUAUAACGGUCCUAAGGUAGCGAAAUUCCUUGUCGGGUAAGUUCCGACCUGCACGAAUGGCGUAAUGAUGGCCAGGCUGUCUCCACCCGAGACUCAGUGAAAUUGAACUCGCUGUGAAGAUGCAGUGUACCCGCGGCAAGACGGAAAGACCCCGUGAACCUUUACUAUAGCUUGACACUGAACAUUGAGCCUUGAUGUGUAGGAUAGGUGGGAGGCUUUGAAGUGUGGACGCCAGUCUGCAUGGAGCCGACCUUGAAAUACCACCCUUUAAUGUUUGAUGUUCUAACGUGGACCCGUAAUCCGGGUUGCGGACAGUGUCUGGUGGGUAGUUUGACUGGGGCGGUCUCCUCCUAAAGAGUAACGGAGGAGCACGAAGGUUGGCUAAUCCUGGUCGGACAUCAGGAGGUUAGUGCAAUGGCAUAAGCCAGCUUGACUGCGAGCGUGACGGCGCGAGCAGGUGCGAAAGCAGGUCAUAGUGAUCCGGUGGUUCUGAAUGGAAGGGCCAUCGCUCAACGGAUAAAAGGUACUCCGGGGAUAACAGGCUGAUACCGCCCAAGAGUUCAUAUCGACGGCGGUGUUUGGCACCUCGAUGUCGGCUCAUCACAUCCUGGGGCUGAAGUAGGUCCCAAGGGUAUGGCUGUUCGCCAUUUAAAGUGGUACGCGAGCUGGGUUUAGAACGUCGUGAGACAGUUCGGUC
rnacentral:rRNA from 1 species